CCGCUCCUCCACGCGGCUUCCUGGGCCCUGACUCCCACACCUGCCCCGCACAGCCCCCGCCUGGAACAGCAGAGCCAAACCGGACAAGCCGAGGGGACCACGAGGGGACCACGUGCAGUCACUCCCCCGGAGGGGCUCAGAGCUGCGGGAGGCCAGGCAGUGACCGCAGCCCGAGAAGGGCUGAGAUGGACAGCGGAGGCGAGCACUGACCCCAGGCCCAGGCCGCGGGAGGCUGCCGGCCACUUCCCCGGGACGCCCCUCCCCAGGCGCAGGCUCGGCGGGGCGGGCUCCCGCCUCCCGGGGUGCCAGGUGGGCUCGCCCCACCCAGGGCCCCGAGGAGGGCACCGCACCUGCGCCGGCCCUCAGGCAGGCCCUGGUCCAGUCGGUGGUCAGCAGGACCUGGCUGGGCGCCGGGCGAGAGGCGGCCGCACGCCGGCCUGGGCUCUGGGGGACCCGGCCCGGCCGGCCCCGUGCAGCGGCGCUGGGCCCCGCACGCGAGCGUGGGCGCCCACCCUGGGCCAAGGGACCGCGCCCCCGCACCACGCGCCCCCGCGCGCCAGUGCCCACUCGCUCCCGGCGUGCUUGCGCGCGCUCACGUGUGUCCGCACGCACGCGCGCGCGGUCUCGCGACCAGGCCAGCCGCGGGACCCAGGGCCGGCCCGCCACCACCCCUCAGGCUCCUUGUCCGGGUCCCCGCGGGCGCCGUCCGGCCGGCUGCGGGGGUCGCGCAGUCCCCACGCCCGGCCCAGGCCGUCGCUCCACGGGGAGCGAACGCGCGGCGAGCUCGCGGUCGCGGCGUUUGGGCCUCGCCGGCCGCCGUCCGCCCGCUUCCGGCCGCGGGACACGCCGGGACGCGUAGUCCGCGGGGCCUGGGCAGCGCCCAGGGUCACGGACCCGGCCGGGCUGGGCGCUCCCAGCGGCGGGGUGGGCGUCCCGUGCUGUGUGGGUGCCGGGCGCCGGUCCCCGCACCGCCCCUCGGGCUGGGGGCGCACGGACGCACCCGAGAGCCGCGGAGUGGGACUGUGAGAGGCUGGUACACCUGGGGGCCUUCCUGGCAGCCGGGCCAGCACCUCCCCCUGCAGUGGGCCCCGGGCUCUGACUGGGCUCUGUUCCCCAGGGCGGCCUGUUUGGAGGAGGGGGCUGGGCAAGGGGCACCAUCAUGAGUGUCAGCUCUGCCCCCCACGGCAGGGAAGGGGGUGGCGCGUGCGUGGAGGUGGCUGGCGUCUGCCUCACCUGAGCCACAACAGGACGGGGCCCGGCUGUCGUGCAGAGGUAGCCACCGCGGCCACCAUGCGGCCUUGUGCGGCUGCCCCCGGGCUCGGGUGUCCGGGGGCACCAAAGGCUCGGCCGUUCUCCCCCAUCCUGUGGCCUGGCCCUGCUGCCAGCUUCCGCCUGUCCAGGCUGUGACCAGCCUCUGCAGCCGUGUCCGGCCCGCCCUCUUCCCUCAGCCGGCUCAGCCUGGCCGUGUGCCUCCGGGGGGGCCCCCAGGGCUCCCUGUGACGCCUCCCUCGGACGCUUCUGCUGGGCCAGUCCUCUCGGCCAGGCCUGGGCACUGAGCAGCCCUCGCCUUCCUUCCAGGCCGUGCCAGUGGCCGAAGGCCGGUCCCUCCUGGCUUCCUCUCUCCUGCCAGGAACACGUCCCAGCGUCCCCUGGGUGUCGGGGGCACAGGUGGAGGAAGCGGGGUGCCCCUGGGCUGCUGUCAGGAAGCACGGGGGGGACAGAGGCCUCUGAGAGGGGAGGGGACACUCUGUGCAGCCCGGACGGGGAGCCUGGAGGGAGGCUGCCAUGGGGGAGUCUGGGGUAGACCCUGGGGUGGACACUGCGUGCCUCCUUCCGCCUGCAGAGGGGAUGUGGGUACUGGGUGGGCUUGGCGAUGCUGAGUGGACGCAAGGCUGUGUGCUACAGCUCGCGUUUUCAGUUUGAGAGGCAGAGAGAGAAGGAGGGGGGAGAGGGAGUGAGCAAGGCAGAGGUGUGGUGUGGAGUAGUGAGU
rnacentral:lncRNA from 1 species